UUCAGAGGUAUGCUCAGUGGAGUGAGUCUGCCAUGGAGGUUGUCUUGACUGUUAGCUUUCAGAAGUGUAUUCACUGAUAGAGGUUGUCAGUGAUUAGACUAAGAUGAAUUGUCAUUCAUUGAUAAAUAAUACAGAACUAUCAGUCUUUCCUAGGAGUAUGGGGAGUUUUUUUUUUUUUUUAAAGUCUCUUUUUUGCAGGUAUAUAAGAGGAAAACUGAGGCUGCCAAGAAAGAGUAUCUGAAGGCACUGGCUGCUUACAAAGACAACCAGGAGUGUCAGGCCACUGUGGAAACAGUGGAAUUGGAUCCAGCACCAUCAUCACAAACUCCUUCUCCACCUCCUAUGGCUACUGUUGACCCAGCAUCUCCAGCACCAGCUUCAAUAGAGCCCCCUGCCCUGUCUCCAUCCAUUGUUGUUAACUCCACCCUUUCAUCCUAUGUGGCAAACCAGGCAUCUUCUGGAGCUGGGGGUCAGCCCAAUAUCACCAAGUUGAUUAUUACCAAACAAAUGUUGCCCUCUUCCAUUACUAUGUCUCAAGGAGGGAUGGUUACUGUUAUCCCAGCCACAGUGGUGACCUCCCGGGG
rnacentral:sRNA from 1 species